GACGAACGCUGGCGGCGUGCUUAACACAUGCAAGUCGAACGGAAAGGCCCUGCUUUUGUGGGGUGCUCGAGUGGCGAACGGGUGAGUAACACGUGAGUAACCUGCCCUUGACUUUGGGAUAACUUCAGGAAACUGGGGCUAAUACCGGAUAGGAGCUCCUGCUGCAUGGUGGGGGUUGGAAAGUUUCGGCGGUUGGGGAUGGACUCGCGGCUUAUCAGCUUGUUGGUGGGGUAGUGGCUUACCAAGGCUUUGACGGGUAGCCGGCCGGAGAGGGUGACCGGCCACAUUGGGACUGAGAUACGGCCCAGACUCCUAUGGGAGGCAGCAGUGGGGAAUAUUGCACAAUGGGCGGAAGCCUGAUGCAGCAACGCCGCGUGCGGGAUGACGGCCUUCGGGUUGUAAACCGCUUUCGCCUGUGACGAAGCGUGAGUGACGGUAAUGGGUAAAGAAGCACCGGCUAACUACGUG
rnacentral:rRNA from 1 species